GACGAACGCUGGCGGCGUGCUUAACACAUGCAAGUCGAACGGAAAGGCCCCCUUGUGGGGUACUCGAGUGGCGAACGGGUGAGUAACACGUGAGUAACCUACCCUUGACUUUGGGAUAACUUCAGGAAACUGGGGCUAAUACCGGAUAGGAGCUCCUGCUGCAUGGUGGGGGUUGGAAAGUUUCGGCGGUUGGGGAUGGGCUCGCGGCUUAUCAGCUUGUUGGUGGGGUAGUGGCUCACCAAGGCUUUGACGGGUAGCCGGCCUGAGAGGGUGACCGGCCACAUUGGGACUGAGAUACGGCCCAGACUCCUACGGGAGGCAGCAGUGGGGAAUAUUGCACAAUGGGCGGAAGCCUGAUGCAGCAACGCCGCGUGCGGGAUGACGGCCUUCGGGUCGUAAACCGCUUUCGCCUGUGACGAAGCGUGAGUGACGGUAAUGGGUAAAGAAGCACCGGCUAACUACGUG
rnacentral:rRNA from 1 species